UGGUGGAGUGAUUUGUCUGCUUAAUUGCGAUAACGAACGAGACCUUAACCUGCUAAAUAGUUCUGUUAACUUUUGUUGGCACGAACUUCUUAGAGGGACUAUCUGUGACUAACAGAUGGAAGUUUGAGGCAAUAACA
rnacentral:rRNA from 1 species